rnacentral:rRNA from 1 species
UACAGAGGCCUCGAGCGUUAGGCGGAAUCACUGGGCUUAAAGCGUGUGUAGGCGGACUUCUAAGUACCUUGUGAAAUCCCACGGCUUACCUGUGGAACGGCUGGGUAUACUGGGAGUCUUGAGCCACCUAGGGGCGAGUGGAACAAAUGGUGGAGCGGUGAAAUGCGUAGAUAUCAUUUGGAACGCCAAUGGUGAAAACAACUCGCUGGGGGUGUGCUGACGCUGAGACACGAAGGCCAGGGGAGCGAACGGG